rnacentral:rRNA from 1 species
AUUGAACGCUGGCGGCAGGCCUAACACAUGCCAGUCGAGCGGAUGAAGGGAGCUUGCUCCUGGAUUCAGCGGCGGACGGGUGAGUAAUGCCUAGGAAUCUGCCUGGUAGUGGGGGAUAACGUCCGGAAACGGGCGCUAAUACCGCAUACGUCCUGAGGGAGAAAGUGGGGGAUCUUCGGACCUCACGCUAUCAUAUGAGCCUAGGUCGGAUUAGCUAGUUGGUGGGGUAAAGGCCUACCAAGGCGACGAUCCGUAACUGGUCUGAGAGGAUGAUCAGUCACACUGGAAGUGAGACACGGUCCAGACUCCUACGGGAGGCAGCAGUGGGGAAUAUUGGACAAUGGGCGAAAGCCUGAUCCAGCCAUGCCGCGUGUGUGAAGAAGGUCUUCGGAUUGUAAAGCACUUUAAGUUGGGAGGAAGGGCAGUAAGUUAAUACCUUGCUGUUUUGACGGUACCAACAGAAUAAGCACCGGCUAACUUCGUG